UUUUUUUCUUUCAUUUUUCUCAAAAAUUCGGUAGAGUUUUAGUACCAUUUGGACAUUGGAUUUUUUUCAAAACAUGUGAUUGAUUAUCCUAACCCUCACACUACUAUUCUCUUUUCUCAACUUUUAUCAAUAUUCAUAAGCCGGUCAACAUGCAAAUCCAUAGCAAAUAAAUGCACAAGUAGCAAGUAGAAUGCAUCAGGAUGGUCUUUUCAAUUCAGAUACACCUGUCCUAGACAGACCGAACUUAUGUGUUGACUCUCCCAAGUCAAAUGCACGUGAUGCAAACAAAUGUUCCUACUAGGGAUCUAGCAUGAAGUUUUUUUGUACUAGGUUUAAAAUCUUAAUUUAUUGUUCUAGACCUGGCUUACCUGAGCGGAUAGCUCGAGUUGAGGGGGGCAGCGUACCGAGAAUACAGAAGCUUUAUCGGCUUUGCAACUUGUCCAAACAUUGUUCUAAAAUUUGGGAUAUGAAUCUAACAAAAGUAAGUCACACGGAGUACACACUUCUCCAUGAUUUAGAAGACUCAGAGAGAGAAAGGGUUUCUUAGCAGUUUAUAUACAGUUCAUAGAAUAUCAAAGCAGUAAAAGCAACAAUUACCACAUUAGGUCCAAACAUGUAACAAAAUAAGAUAAUGGAUAAGGACAACUAUAACAAUUCAUCGAAGCUCGAAUUUUGGUCCCUGAACAAGAGAUUCUGGGUUCCUCUCUCUAGCAGAGUCGCCAGAGUUGUCACACCUCAUUUUACUUAUCCCCCGAAGGGUAUAAAGUAGUUUUUCUAAUUAAAGGACAACCAAAAUGGGAUUAUAUAUUAAAAAUAUUCAGACUUGCCACUUGGAAGAUUUAUGGUGUCCCAAGUCACCGUUUGAAUCUCAAAUCUAGGAAAAGAUUAACUCUAUUUAUGUCACGAUCCGAAUUUUCCCACCAUCGAGAGUCGUGAUGGCGCCUGCUGUCGAAGCUAGGCAAGCUAACCUCUAUAAUCAUUUUUACAAAUUUAAAUGUAGAACAAGAUAAAUGCUAAAAUAAUUAAUUAAAACAUAGAAGUCUUUUAACAUUAAUAUCGAAAACAAAAUGCGAAAACUAACAACAUGUCUCUACCCAGUAUCUGGUGUCACUACUCACGGACGACUAAGAGUACUAAAGCAAUAGUCUGAAAGAAAUAUACCAUAUGUCUGUUUUGAUGCAAUAAAAACAAACUAGAAAAUAUAGAAGAGACUCGGGGCCCGCGAACGCCAGCGAACUACCGCAGAAUCUCUGGACUGAAGGAUCACCCACUAACUACUGUGUCCUGACCUGUGCACAAAAAGGCAAAGAAGUGUAGUAUCAGCACAACCGACCCCAUGUGCUGGUAAGUGCCUGGCCUAACCCCGCCAAAGUAGUGAUGAGGCUAAACUAAACCUACCACAAUCAACCUGUACAGAUAUAUGGGCGAUAACUGAAAGAUAACAAUAUUUAAACAGAUAAUGGGGAGUGACAAACAAAGAAAUGGAAAAAUGUAUAACUAACGUCAAUAAAAAGAAGACCAGUAAAUCAAACGUUGCACGACACCACCCAUCGUGAUUUUACUCUCGUCAUCACCAAGAUAAUAAAUAAAAGUGUACGACAUCACACAUCGUACUUUAUCGCUCUUCCUCACCAAUCAAUAGCAUAAAGUAGUUACACGGCAUCACCCAUCGUGCUUUAUCACCCUUUCUCACCCAAUCAAUAGCAUGAAGCAAUUACACGGCAUCACUCAUCGUGCUUUAUCACUCAACCUCACCCAAACAAUGAUCACAGAUAAUUGGGCAAAUGUAUAAACGAAGCCGUAAUAAUAAUCCCGGCAAGGGAGAAAUACAAGCAAUACAUAAAUCCCGGCAAGGUAAAAUAAUUCAACAAUACGUCCCGGCAAGGGAAAGGUACCAAAAACUUCCUCUUUUAGUUCAUUUGCUUCUCAACUACCACUUCAUAGUUCAUUUAACAAGUAAUUAGCAAAAUUGUUUACUUCUUUCGAAAUUUAAUAACAAUUAUGACUCACGGUCAUGCUAGACUGGGGCGCAUAGGUAAGCGUCACCAUACCUAUACACCGACUCCACAUAGCACAUAGCAAAUAUUAUCCUAAUCAUAUUCUCUCAAGCCAAAGUUAGAUCAAACACUUACCUCAAAUUCGAAAAUGGCAACUCAAAGCUUAAAAAUCGCCUUUCCUCUAGAAUUCGACCCCGACCCAACGAUAAGCCAAAGUUAGAUCAAACACUUACCUCGAUCCGAAAAUAGCAACUCAAAGCUCAACAAUCGCCUUUCUUCUAGAAUUUGACCCCGAACCACCGAUAUCUAACAUAAAUGGAUUCAAUGUUAUCAAUAAUAGCACAAGGAUACAAUUUCAUAGCUUAGAAAUUCAUUUCUAAUUUUUCUUCCAAAAAUACCAAAAUCCAACACCGGGCCCGCAUGGUCCAAACUCGAGGCUCAGACCAGAUUCUUAUUAGCCAUAAACCCACGAGUCCAAAUAUAUAAUUUGUUUUAAGAUUCGACCCUAAAUUGGGGUUGAAUCGCCCAAUUUUCUAAGAACCCUAGAUAUGCCCAAACAUCCCUAAAUUCUACUAUGAUUCUAUAAUUUGGGGCUAGAAAAUAGAUGGUUGGAUGAAGAAAUAAUGGGACAAAGAAGUUGGAAUCACUUACCUAAAGAGUUAUGGUGAAGUAGGGGCUUGGAGUUCGUAAAUGGAGAAUGUAGGAGGAGAGCCUGUGAGAGAAAUUUUGAAGAAAUGCGGAACACACUGUUCUGGACUAAUUUAAAUCUUUGAAGGAAUUUUCCUUACGCGAUCACGACACUUGGGAUGCUUUCGCGAGGUAAGAGGUCUGGAGGCAUCGCGAUCGCGAUUGGGAUCACGCGAUCGAGAAGAAGAAAGUCAGGGGGGUCCAAGUGCCUUACGCGAACCCGAGGUGGGGAGUGCGAACGCGUUGAGGGAGCUGGUAACACAGUGCGAACGGGGGGGUUCUUCCGUGAUCGUGUAGAAGACUAGAGGCAGGGCUACGCGAACGUGACUGGAUGCACGCGAUCGCGAAGGGAAAAUGGGUCUGCAACAGCUGUUGAAAAAUCUGGUAUUUUCCAAGUUUCAAAACACCCCGAAACACCCUCGAAAUCACCCCCGAGCCCUCGGGGCUCCCAAUCAAACACACACACUAACUCAAUAUCAUCCUACGAACUUGCUCGAGUGAUCAAAUCACCAAAAUAACAUCAAAAUCAAAGAAUCAUCCCCCAAAACUCCUUCUGCAACAGCUGUUGAAAAAUCUGGUAUUUUUCUAAGUUUCAAAACACCCCGAAAUCACCCGCGAGUUCUCGGGGCUCCUAACCAAAUAUACACACUAACUCAAUAUCAUCGUACGAACUUGCUCGAGCGAUCAAAUCGCCAAAAUAACAUCAAAAUCAAAGAAUCAACCCCCAAAACUCAUGAUUUUCAUUUCUAAGUUCAAAACUUUCAGCUUUCCACUUUUAGUCCAAAACACAUCAAACGACGUCCGUUUUCAACCAAUCUUUACAGAUAGCACUUAUGCCAAUUUAAGAUUUGUACCGGCCCUCGGAACCGAAAUACGAGCCCGAUACCAUUAUUUUUGAUCAAUUUCUGUUUUCAAUUUUUCCUUAAGCAUAUUCAUAAAACAAUUUUACAGAAAAGCUCCGUACUUGGGCCUGGGACCUCAGAUUUUGAUUCCGGGAAUACGCCAGAGUCCCAAAUUUCCUUGCGGACCAUUCGGGUCCGUCACAUUACGGGUCCGGGUUUGUUUGCCUAAAACGUUGACCAAAGUCAACUAUAGAAAUAUUAGUAUCAAAAUUCAUAGUUUUUAACACAUAAUUCAAAUAUUUUAACAUAAUAAUUUUUCGGCUUCGCACCUGCACUGUGCACGCAAAUUGAGGCAACCUAAUAAGAGGUUUUCAAGGCCUCAGAAGCGCAAGGAAAGGGAGAAUUACGGUGAUGGCCCUUUGGAUUCACAUCAUCCACCUCUAAAACAAUUGUUCGUCCUCGAACGGACAAAAUAAAGAAGUACAUGAGUCGGGGAAUAGACGGGGAUAACGGCCUCGCAUAUCAGAGUUGGACUCUCAGGUCGAUCCCUCAGGAGGCUGACCUCUCCACUGAACACGCAUUGAAGGAAAACUUUGCGACCUCCACUGUCGAACCUGCCGGUCUAAAAUAGCCACCGACUCCUCCUCAUAUGACAGAUCCUUCUCCAAUUGGACAGUACCGAAAUCUAACAGGUGGCUGGGAUCAUCGUGAUACUUCCAAAGCAUGGAUACAUGGAAAACUGGAUGCACAGCUGACAAGCUAGGCGGCAAUGCGAGUCUAUAAGCUACAUUUCUCACACGGUCCAAAAUCUAAAACGGGCCAAUAUACCUAGGGCUAAGCUUUCCCUUCUUCCCGAACCUCAUCACGCCCUUCAUAGGCCACAUUCCCCACACGGUCAAGAAUCUCAAAUGGGCCAAUAUACCUAGGGCUAAGUUUUUCCUUCUUCCCGAACCUCGUCACGCCCUUCAUAGGCGAUGCAUAGAGCAAUAUCUCUCACCAACCAUGAGAGAAACAUCCCUAACCUUAUGAUCUGCAAAACUCUUUUGCCUACACUGAGCUGACCGAAGUCUGUCCUGAAUGAUCUUAACCUUAUCCAAGGCCUCCUGCACCAAAUUUGUACCCAAUAACCAAGCCUCUCCUGGGUCAAACCAUCCUAUUAGGGACCGACACCGCCUACCAUACAACGCCUCAUAAGGAGCCAUCUGAAUACUGGACUGGUAGCUAUUGUUGUAGGCAAACUCCGCUACAGCAAGAACUGGUCCCACGAGCCUCCAAAAUCAAUAACGCAGGCUCGGAGCAUAUCCUCAAGAAUAUGAAUGUUCCUCUCGGACUGACCGUCCCUCUGCCAUCUGAAUACUGGAUUGGUAGCUAUUGUUGUAGGCAAACUCCGCUACAGCAAGAACUGGUCCCACGAGCCUCCAAAAUCAAUAACGCAGGCUCGGAGCAUAUCCUCAAGAAUAUGAAUGGCCCUCUUGGAUUGACCGUCCAUCUGGGGGUGAAACGCUUUACUCAACUGGAUCUGGGUGCCCAACUCAUGAUGUAACGCUCUCCAGAAAUGCGAGGUAAACUGCGGACCCUGGUCGAAAAUAAUAGAUAUGGGCACCCCAUGAAGGCGAACGAUCUCUCUGAUGAAUAGGUGGUGGCAACUGGUACGAAAUGCGCUGACUUUGUCAGCCUAUCAACAAUAACCCAUAUAGCAUCAAACUUCUUCCGUGUCAUCGGAAGGCCAGUAACAAAAUCCAUGGUGAUUCUCUCCCACUUCCACUCCGGAUGCUCAAUCCUCUGAAAUAACCCACCGGGUCUCUGAUGCUCGCACUUAACCUGCUGACAAUUCAGACCACGAGCCACAUAUGCAACAUUUUCUUUAUUCAUUUUGCACCACCAAUAAUGCCGUCUCAAAUCUUAGUACAUCUUCGCGGCGCCCGGGUGAAUAGACUACCGAGAAUUGUGGGCCUCGGCUAAGAUCGACUCUCGAAUAUCAUCAACAUUGGGCACACAAACUCGCCCCUGCAACCUCAACAAGCCAUCAUCUCCCAAAGUCAUCUCCCUAUCACCUCCCCGCUGCACCGUAUCUCUCAGGACACACAAAUGGGGAUCAUCAAACUGCCGCUCCCGGAUAUACUCCAUCAAUAACGAGCGACCAACCGUGCAAGCUAACACCCUACUGGGCUCACAAAUAUCCAAUCUCACAAAUCUAUUGGCCAAAGCCUGAUCAUCCAAGGCGAACGGUCUCUGGCUGACCAGAAUAUAGGCAAGACUACCCCUGCUGGCGGACCUUCUCCUCAAUGCAUCGACCACCACAUUGGCCUUCCCCGGGUGGUAUGAGGUGGAGCAUCAUAGUCUUUCAACAGCUACAACCAACUCCACUAUCUCAAUUUCAACUGUUUCUGCUUGAACAAGUACUGAAGGCUCUUGUGAUCCGUGUGCACCUUACACGUCACGCCAUACAAAUAAUUUCUCCAGAUCCCGCAUGAACAAUGGCUGCCAACUCUAAGUCAUGAAAUGGAUAAUUCUUCUCGUGGAUCUUCAACUGCCUUGAAACAUAUACCAUGACCCUGUCACUCUGCAUCAACAUUGCACCACGCUGAACCCAAGAAGCAACACAAUAAACCGUAGGAGAUCCUGAUCCCCUGGACAAAAUCAAUCCGAUGCGAAAAAACUAUCUUAAGGACACCGAAUGCUCUAAUACUGAACUGGUGGUAAUAAAAUCCCAAAUCUAUCCUUGAGAAAACACCCUGGUGCUCCAAAGCUGAUUGAACUUAUCCUCAUCGAACCGUCCUUCCUUUUCGCAAUAACGUUGGGUACGCCCCAAGGCGAAACUCUGGCCUAAUGAAACCCUUAUCAAGAAAAUCCUGAAACUAUUCCUUUAACUCUCUCAACUCUUGCGGGGCCAUGCGAUACGAUGAAACGGAAAUAGGCUGAGUGCUCGGCGCCAGAUCAGCGCAAAGAUUGAUAACCAUGUCAGGCAGUACGCCCGGCGUUCUGAUGGAAAAACAUCGAGGAAGCUCCCGAACAAUAGGAACAAAACCAACGGAAGAAACCUCCGCACUGGAGUCGCAAUCAUACGCCAAUCGAGCUAAACACCCCUCUCUUAACCAUGCGCCGAGCCUUUGCAUACGAUAUCACAUUGCGGGUCGGAAAUUCUAAAGUCCCUCUCACUCUAAAUGGAGCAAAUCGGGUAAAGCCACGAUCACGAUUUUUGGUGCGAUAAUCCCAACAUAGGAUGGCACGAGGACAACUAAUCCAUCCCCCAUAUAAUGUCAAAGUCCACCAUAUCAAAAGCAAUAAGUCGACAUGGGUCUCCAAACCCUCAAAUACUACCACUCAUGAAUGAUGCACUCGGUCGACCAUUAUAGAAUAAGUCACUGGUGGAAAUACAUAUAAAGAAAACCCAAGGCUUCAUUAGGCAUAACCAAAUGGAGUGCAAAAUAGGGCGAAAUGUAUGAAUGUGAAGAUUCAGGGUUAAACAACACUGAAGCAUCUCUAAAACAAAUCAGAACGAUACCUGGAAUGUCAGCAUCUGAAGUCUCAACCUCCAAACUGGCCACUGGCUGAUCCCUACUGCUGGCGACCUGAACUCCACCUCUAAGACCUCUACCUCCACCUUUAGCCGGCUAGGUAGGCUGUGGAACCUCCGGUGCCCGGAGCCAAGCACGAUAACUCUGAUACUGAAAGUUGCUCAGAGCUCUAGAGCAAGAUCUGACCAUGUUCCUCGGAUCACCACAAGCAUGGCAGGACCUCGGCUGCUGCGGAUGAGCACCCCUCAGCCUUGAGCGGGCCCCCCUGAGGUGUCCAUACUCGCCACACUCGUAACAUCUACACGCACGCUGCAAUUGAGGAAGUUGGGGCUGGCCUGGUCGGCCACCUGAAGUACCAUGAGAGACAGGGGAAGCUGGCUGAAAGGGCCUGGAAGGAUGACCUCUACCAUAAGAACCUCUACCUCCAGAAGAGGUACCACU
rnacentral:lncRNA from 1 species